CCUACGGGUGGCAGCAGUGAGGAAUAUUCGUCAAUGGACGAGAGUCUGAACCAGCAAAGUAGCGUGAAGGAUGACUGCCCUAUGGGUUGUAAACUUCUUUUAUAUGGGAAUAAAAUGUUCCACGUGUGGGAUUUUGUAUGUACCAUAUGAAUACGGAUCGGCUAACUCCGGGCCAGCAGACGCGGUAAUACGGAGGAUACGAGCGUUAUCCGGAUUUAUUGGGUUUAAAGGGAGCGUAGGUGGAUUGUUAAGUCAGUUGGGAAAGUUUGCGGCUCAACCGUAAAAUUGCAGUUGAAACUGGCAGUCUUGAGUACAGUAGAGGUGGGCGGAAUUCGUGGUGUAGCGGUGAAAUGCUUAGAUAUCACGAAGAACUCCGAUUGCGAAGGCAGCUCACUGGACUGCAACUGACACUGAGGCUCGAAAGUGUGGGUAUCAAACAGGAUUAGAUACCCUAGUAGUC
rnacentral:rRNA from 1 species